CCGCAGCCCACUGGGCCGGGUGAACCCCUGAGCCCCGCUGCAGUGUGUCCGCACUAGAGCCAAGCAGGAGAGGGAAAGGCGUCUGCAGUCCGGGUUUGCCCCAACGUGCUGCUCUCAGAGAGGAGGGAACCAGGGCCUGCUUAGAGAUUCAAUAACUUGCCCAAGGAAAUGCUGCUAGUUUUAAAAGCAGAAUUAAAGUGUAAAGUAGAGGGAAAUUUCUCUGAUGCAGCAUUUACAUAAGAAACACAUUCAGAAAAAGAGGCUGUGAUUCUGAACGCGUCCUUAUUAUACUGCACUAAAAAUCUCCCUUGGGAUGAGGGAGGUUUAAAUUAGUUGGAGAGAGAAGGAAAUAAAAUCCUCUUUUUCAAAAUGC
rnacentral:lncRNA from 1 species